GCACAUGGGGACGAUUGUCCCUGAAGAAUGGUGGAAGGAUGGGCCACCAGGUAGAUGUGCGGAGGACCUGUUCGUACACGGUGGAUUGCUCGGACGUCGGGCAAUUUUCCCCAAGCGUGUGGUGGUUUUGGGUGACCCUACAAUUAAUCCAAGGUGAGUGAGGGACAGUGUCAUCCUCGUGUGUUGCUGCAAAAGCCUUCCCGCGGCAUGAUGGUCCAAGGAUAAGUGGUCGAAACCACCCAGGAAGAUAUAAAAUUCUCGUGGUACAUCAUCGACACAACAUUUUAAUAUUAAGACGCUUAAAAACGAUGCAGAAUCGACAACGAUUACGGCGCGUGCAGUUCUGUUCGAGAUCCACCAGCAGGGAGUAAUGCGAUGGUUAUGCUGGGAUGGGAGAAGCCUAGGACACACCUUAAACCAACAACGACAACGUCACUGAUGGCCUUCGAGCAGUUUUGCAUCGCGACAUGCACCACACUGGACCGAAGGCGUGCAAGUUGAGAUCGUGUUAGGUUCGCAGGGAAGCACGAAACGAAAACCCGCUGUGAAAGAAGACAUCAGCUCAAGUCAAGAUCACCGCCAUCAAAAAAGAGAACUGUAUGUCCAAUAUAAUGUUGGUAAUGGGCGACGAUGGUUCGAAUGGCGAAGAAGGUGAGUUAAAACAAAACUAGCACACGCUGAUCGUGAUCAUUGCUGGAGUGAUUUAGAUUGCUGUUUGAGAGGAAACAAAAAUGCAAUUCAAUCAAGAAAAACAAUAGGCAGGCAGGCAGGUCUCAAUGUCGAGUUUAGAUCGUUGGACUAUUUGAUGCAUUUUUGCUAUAGAGUAAUCACGACUGUACUAGACCGAACCUGAACAACAUUCCUUAUCCAAGCAAAAUACGUUUAACCAUUAACUUUAAACAAAAGCAUACUUUAAGAUAAAUAAACACAAUUAUUUAAGAUAAGAACAACCCGGAAAAUCUUCUGGACCACCCGCAAAAUCUGAUCGGAAAACUGAUGUUUAAUGCCAUAAAUGAGAAUAAACAAUAUGAAGAAACUGAAGAAAAAUAAUUAUUAAAAAUAAAAGAGCCACGAAAAAAAAGUUUCAACGGAAUGUAAAUAC